rnacentral:rRNA from 1 species
AGCUGCAAGUCGAGAUCUUUCGCAAUGGGCGAAGCCUGACGAAGCGACGCUGAGUGAGCGAUGAAGGCCUUCGGGUUGUAAAGCUCUUUCGCGCAGGAACAAGGGAGGUGGGAGAAUAMCCUGUUAAUUUGAGGGUACUGCGUAAAGAAGCACCGGCUAACUCC